AAUUUCUCCAUUUCUUUUCUGGAGAGAGAGAGAGAGAGCGAGAACUCAAAUAGCCCUAACUCCCCGAUUCUCCGUUCCAUGGCUGGGAGAAUCCGCCAUUGCUGUUCGGGCACUGCCACUUCCGGCACUAAGCUAUUCUCUUCACAGUGGCUAUCAUGGAAAUCAUCCAUUGUCGGAGGUGGGUCGGGCAAUCCAUAUUUCAGUAGCAAGUUAACAAUUUAUGUGGCUCGGUGCUGAUUGGUAUUCAGAUGUAGAGCUACGUUCGGUGUCCGCACAAAAUAAUCUCUAUAUUGAGCCAGUUUUGCUAGCAUGCACCAUUAUGCAUUCAAUUUUUUAUUCUCCGUAAGCAUAAUGGAAGCUAUCAUGCAAAGCUAUGGCAAAGUUUAUGCUAAUUACUGUAUUGCUGCUAUCAUUUUAUCUUCCCUAUCUGCUUUCCGAAACGGCUUGUCAGAGAUUUUUAAUGCAUGCAUAGUGCUUCUUUGAUUGAUCUAAUGGUGAAUAUAAUCAUUGCCUAUAUGAAAGUGGGAGCUGUAUUAUAUUGUGAUUAUGAUUGGCCCAACUAAUAGCUAUUAAAUAGCCAUGGCCAACACAUAAAAGGAAGAAGAUGUUCCUUGAUUUGAUUGGUGAGCUAUUUCUAGAUUAGACAUUCAGUAGUUGUCACAGACGUAUGUGUAACAAAAGAGAUCUGAAGAUAAUUGAAAAAGUGUUAUAAUAGAAUCAUUGAAUUGUAUGGAAA